CUCUUCCAUCUUCUAAACCCCUCCAGACCGUCUCUAUCCAGAUUUGGCACCUACUUCAUCAGGCUGACAGUUAAGAAGAGAGCUGUAUGUGGUGCCCUGUGGUGUCCUGUGGUGCAGGUGAGACGUCUAAAGACAGCAUCAUUCACACUGGAUCAGGAUGGAUGAAGUACUGAAGGAGGCCAGAUUGGUGGAGCCAGUCUGGGCAGGGGUGUGGCUGUUUCCAGGCAAGGUUGCCAGGGUUUCCUGGAGAUUGAUCCUGCCUCUUUGCAGGGACUGGGACAGAUGAUUUGGAACUCCCCAAGAUGGGCACUUCUGAGCAGAAUUCAUGCCUGGGGUCACCUCAGCUUUUCAGAGCUAAUCUCACCUGCCUCACACAAAAUCCCGCUGCCUUCCAUGCCGGGUUAAAGUGGCUCAGAGUAAAUUAAAGGCCUUUACUGUGGGCCUGGGAGCUCUGCAGCCCGACUCAGCUUCUGGUGAAGAGCUUGAGAGCCGGGCCGUGUCUGUGGAGUGAGGGGCCCAGUUCCUUUCUUCUUCUUGCCUGCGAUUCUCAGAUGAUUAGCUGUCACCCCAGCAGACCCAACAGUGGCACACAGGGACACAUUCCAUGCAGGAGUGUGGAUGAUUCCCAUAUUAGAUUCUUUAAACCUCAUCUUAUAUUAAUUUGGGGUUCCUUCGGAGUAUACCUUGAAUAAAGAAUUUUGGUGCAAUGAUUUAUUCAUGAGGUGAUUCCAGGAAACACAGUAGAAAAUAGGUAAAGUGGGGCCAGGUGUGGUGGCUCACGCCUGUAAUCCCAGCACUCUGGGAGG